rnacentral:rRNA from 1 species
CCUACGGGAGGCAGCAGUGGGGGAUAUUGCACAAUGGGGGGAACCCUGAUGCAGCGACGCCGCGUGGGUGAAGAAGCGCCUCGGCGCGUAAAGCCCUGUCAGCAGGGAAGAAAAUGACGGUAACUGAAGAAGAAGCCCCGGCUAACUACGGGCCAGCAGCCGCGGUAAUACGUAGGGGGCAAGCGUUAUCCGGAUUUACUGGGUGUAAAGGGGGCGCAGACGGCGAUGCAAGCCAGGAGUGAAAGCCCGGGGCCCAACCCCGGGACUGCUCGUGGAACUGCGUGGCUGGAGUGCAGGAGGGGCAGGUGGAAUUCCAGGUGUAGCGGUGGAAUGCGUAGAUAGCAGGAGGAACACCGGUGGCGAAGGCGGCCUGCUGGACUGCAACUGACGUUGAGGCCCGAAAGCGUGGGGAGCAAACAGGAUUAGAUACCCCGGUAGUC